rnacentral:rRNA from 1 species
UACCGGGUGACCGGAUGCCGAUCUCGAAAACCUGUCCCAGUUCGGACUGGAGUCUGCAACCCGACUCCACGAAGUUGGAUUCGCUAGUAAUCGCGCAUCAGCCAUGGCGCGGUGAAUACGUUCCCGGGCCUUGUACACACCGCCCGUCAAGCCAUGGGAGCCGGGGGCGCCUGAAGUCCGGGACCGCGAGGACCGGCCUAAGGCGAAACUGGUGACUGGGGCUAAGUCGUAACAAGGUAAC